GACGAACGCUGGCGGCGUGCCUAAUACAUGCAAGUAGAACGCUGAAGGAGGAGCUUGCUCUUCUGGAUGAGUUGCGAACGGGUGAGUAACGCGUAGGUAACCUGCCUGGUAGCGGGGGAUAACUAUUGGAAACGAUAGCUAAUACCGCAUAAGAGUAGAUGUUGCAUGACAUUUGCUUAAAAGUUGCAAUUGCAUCACUACCAGAUGGACCUGCGUUGUAUUAGCUAGUUGGUGGGGUAACGGCUCACCAAGGCGACGAUACAUAGCCGACCUGAGAGGGUGAUCGGCCACACUGGGACUGAGACACGGCCCAGACUCCUACGGGAGGCAGCAGUAGGGAAUCUUCGGCAAUGGACGGAAGGCUGACCGAGCAACGCCGCGGGAGGGAAGAAGGGUUUCGGAUCGUAAAGCUCUGUUGUAAGAGAAGAAAGAGUGUGAGAGUGGAAAGUUCACACUGUGACGGUAUCUUACCAGAAAGGGACGGCUAACUACGUG
rnacentral:rRNA from 1 species